rnacentral:lncRNA from 1 species
GUCCCCGGCGUCCGGGCGCCCUGCAUGGAUCCCCCACCCCAGCUCCUGCUCCCCGGCGGCGGCCGGUGGGCAGAAAGACCGAAACCCACUCACGGCCGCCUGCCGAAUCGCGGCUCUGCUGUUUGUGGGGCGUGCUAGAAACGUGGUCCUAAAAAGAAUGGCGUCCAUUUACAUAAUGCUUUGUUUGCGUUUCGCAAGUUUCUUUCGGUUAAAGCCACAGAAACCCCACCUCCUGCCCUUGUGUCGUUUCCACCGCGGCACCCUUUUCCGACAUUAGAAACAAUAGUGUACGCCUGUGGAGGCCUCGUUUGUUCAGGGGCUGCCGGCCAGGGCUUCAGGACGUUUCUGCGGCUUUCCCCGCGCGGCCUGGGCUCCCGCGGCUGCUUUUCGGGCCCAUGGGCGCAGCCACUGCGCCAGGCUCAAGGGGGGCGGCCCCGUCAGGGCCCGCCAUCUUGGAAGGCCUUUUUUGCCGGUUCUUCCCGCUGAGGAAGUGUCGCUCAAGACGCUGGCCUAUGAGUUGUGAUUUCUGCCUUUUCCCCUUCCUCCUUGGGCUAAGCCAGACCAGAAAGGGCCCCGUGCGCAACGUGCUUCACAAUCUCUCAGGGAAAGCGGCUAACGUGGCGCUACUCCGCCUCCCCUGUUCCUUACCCUUGGGGCGGCCGCCAUGUUUCCUGAACACAAAAUGGCGACACGUGGUUAGCAUUCGUCGCCAACGAGAAAUUGGGGUCGGCCCGAAAGCUCUAGAAUGCACCCCUCUUCCUCCCCGGGGCCUUCCACCUCCGCGAGUUUUAUGACUUAAAAAAGCCCACAGGCUGGUCUGAAGGUCGGAGGCCUAAUUUUAACGCGUUUUCCUCCCUUUAAUUUGAAACGGGAACGCGAAUGACUGUAAAAUGUGGGCACAAUAUUUAAUCUCUCGCCUUUUUAAAGCUUAAUAGUGGAUAAUAGGGGGGCAGUAUCAAGGGAUAAUUUGGGUCCCCACAGUACCAAAGCAUUUAGAAACCUCUGUUUAAUUUAAGGAAUGAGAUAAGUUACUGCUUUUCUAGACUUCCUAGCAUGGGCUGUUGUGCUGGAGAGAACGAGAGCUACGAAGAGACUACAGUGCCUCUGACUUUUUCAUAGGACAGUUGGCCGGUGAAUCUUAUUAAUAGUUUACCACAAUUAAGUGUUCAUUUUUAGUCUAGAAGGGACAGGCGUUUAUUGUGCAUUGGCCAGUGCCAGCACAUCCGAUGCAAGGCAGUUCACCGUAUUCUAUCUUUAAUUUUUACCAUGGUCCUCUGAGGUAGGUGUUCUUAUCUCUCUCUCUCUCUCUCUCUUUUAAACAGAGGAAGACAAACAUAAAGAUGAAGUGCUUAAUUCAAGGUCACACAAUGUCGGGGAUGGACCUCCAGAUUUCCUUACUGGUGAGACGUGGUCUUGUAACACAGUGGUUAAGAAUGUGACUUUGGAGCCAGCCUGCUAGGGGCUGAAUUCUGACUCAGCCAUUUACUAACUGUGUGACCUUAGGGAGGAGGACCUGGUUGAUAGAAGAAUUUAUCUCGUAGUCUUAACAUCCACUGUAAUUCCAAACUUUGAGGACGAUAGAGAUCAGUGGGCUUUGACUGCCCAGCAUGCAGUCUCCAUUCUUAGGUGGGUUCCCAAGCCUGUAAAAUGUAAGCCUUAUGCUGCUGAGGGCCAUCUUGCCACCCUGAGGGAAACGCUGCCUGAGAAUGAAACAAGCAUAAGUAAAAGCUGAGCUGUGAGAUGGAGCAAGAUGAAGGCCACAUGACAUCUUUGGAGCACCUGGAUCUAACUGUGCCUUAAGCUAGUCUAACCCUGAACAUUUCAUCAUUUCAUUGACAUGAGCCCAGGUUUUCUUUUUUUUUGGAUGGAGUCUUGCUCUGUCGCCCAGGCUGGAGUGCAGUAGCUCAAUCUCGGCUCACUGCAAGCUCCACCUCCCGGGUUCACGCCAUUCUCCUGCCUUAGCCUCCCAAGUAGCUGGGACAACAGGCGCCCACCACCACUCCCAGCUAAUUUUUUGUAUUUUUAGUAGAGACGGGGUUUUACCAUGUUAGCCGGGAUGGUCUUGAUCUCCUGACCUCAUGAUCCGCCCGCCUCGGCCUCCCAAAGUGCUGGGAUUACAGGUGUGAGCCACUGCACCCAGCCCUCAGGUUUUCCCUUUUUUUACCCCUCCUUUUGAAAAUUUGAUGUGGAAUUUUGCCACCUGCAGCCAGAAGAGUUUUAACUAAUCAGUGCCAUAAAUUUUAUAUAGUUCUCCUUGCAAAAUGUGGAUCAGCCUUUCUCAGCAAAUCCUUUGUCAUAAAGUGCUGAAUUGUAAGUUUGUCAUGAGAAUCACAUGAGAUCAUGCAUGUGAAGAACCUGGCAUUAUCCUCCUCAUAGAAAAAAACCAGUAAAUAUUAACUACAGGAAGCAAGGAAGGAGUGGGGUGAGGGGAAGAAGAAGGGGUACUGAUUUAAAAGAACCCUGGAGUCCUAAGGAUAAUCUAGGAACCCUCAGACCCAAUCCGAUACCCCUAUUCUAAAUGCUCCUAGUGCCCUGUACCUUCCCCUCAUAAGCCUUCAUUAUCAUUGUAAUGAUAUGUUUAUGUAAUAUUUUGAUUAAUGUCUCUCCUUCACUGACCUAGCAGUUCUAGCAGGGCAGUGAUUUUGCUGUGUUGCAUCCCCAGCACCUAGUCUGGUAUGUGGCAUUCAGCAUAUGUUUAUUGAAUGAAUGGCCAUGUGGUUAUUCAGAUCCUCCUUGAUUAUUGGGGUUAGGAUUGUGGCAGAAGUGGCAAAAUCAGGGAGAGUAGUCCCUGUCCCCUCUGUAUCUUAUACACUGCCCACACUCCCAACACACAUACACAUACAGAGAAUUUUGUCUCAAUUAGAUAAUUAACUUCUGCUUGGUUGUAAACCAAACCACUGGUUCUUAAACUUUCAUUGGAUCAUUUUAUUGAAGAAUUAAAUAGUGUGGUUCUGGCCUAAUGUCUGGAAAGCCUUGCAGAGGAGUGGAUUAGGUCUUUGUGAUAAACAGGCAGCCUUCCCUGCUCCUGUGUCUUUAUAAAAUCUAUUUAACUGGAGUAGUCCACCCUCCCUCAGGCUCUUACAGGAAUAUGUUGGAGGCUGUAGGAAGGUGGGAAACCGAGAGGGAAAGGACUGGGCCGCUGGAGACUUCACUCAUUCCCUAGCAAGAAACAAAAGCAGUAAAAGGUGGCCCGAGGACAACCUGAAGCUCACUCCUUCAGCACUUUUGGCUGGAGGUCACUUGUUGGAGCCCCACUCAGAGCUCAGCACACCACCCCACCAGCAGCCUCCUCCUCCCAGCUGAGGCUGCAUUUCAUCCCUUCCCCCAGCCUGCUUUCCCUGAGAUAGGGGAGUGUUUCCCAGGGCCCAUGUGACUUCCACUGGCAAGUGACGAUUACCAAUGGUUUACUAGUCAGUGAAACUACCAAAGGCUUUUGUGCUGUAGUAAUCCUUUUCCUGUUUAAAACUCUGGGGAUUUUCUAAUGUUGCCAAUAGUUUUUCAAGUCAGCAAUUACUGUGUGGAUUAUGUAAUGGCUCGGUAUUAAAAAUAGAAAAGACUGGA